rnacentral:misc_RNA from 1 species
GGAAUAAAAGUCGUAACAAGGUUUCCGUAGGUGAACCUGCGGAAGGAUCAUUCAUAAUAAGUGUUCUACUGCACUUUUUAAAAAUAGUACUCACCUUGUGUGCAAUGUUGUGUUUCUUUUCGGAGAAACACCUACACCAACCUAUAACCUUGAACCACUUUGUCUGAAAAACUAUUAUGAAUACUUAAUUCAAAAUACAACUUUCAACAACGGAUCUCUUGGCUCUC